rnacentral:lncRNA from 1 species
UAUUGAAAAGCAAUUGGAAAUCGUUUUGAAUGCAAGUAUAACAUGUGUGGAGAUGAACCCCUUAGCUAACCUUCCAUCCAUUCAUUUAAACCAAAUUCGUUUUAAAAUCUGUUCGUUUUACAAAGUUUUGUUUUGUUUUCAAAUUCGUCCAAAAUCAAUCCCCUUUUUCUUUGUUGAGUCAUAUUAGUUAGAAGUCAAGUUAGUUUGUGUUU